AAAAAAAGAAGAAGAUA
rnacentral:sRNA from 1 species